rnacentral:rRNA from 1 species
AUUGAACGCUGGCGGCAGGCUUAACACAUGCAAGUCGAGCGUGGUGAUGGUUCUUGCACUAUCACUUAGCGGCGGACGGGUGAGUAAUGCUUAGGAAUCUGCCUAUUAGUGGGGGACAACAUCUCGAAAGGGAUGCUAAUACCGCAUACGUCCUACGGGAGAAAGCAGGGGAUCACUUGUGACCUUGCGCUAAUAGAUGAGCCUAAGUCGGAUUAGCUAGUUGGUGGGGUAAAGGCCUACAAAGGCGACGAUCUGUAGCGGGUCUGAGAGGAUAAACCCCCACGCUGGGACUGAGACACGGACCAGACUCCUACGGGAGGCAGCAGUGGGGAAUAUUGGACAAUGGGAGUAACCCUGAUCCAGCCAUGCCGCGUGUGUGAAGAAGGCCUUAUGGUUGUAAAGCACUUUAAGCGAGGAGGAGGCUCUUUUGGUUAAUACCCAAGAUGAGUGGACGUUACUCGCAGAAUAAGCACCGGCUAACUCUGUGCCAGCCGCCGCCGUAA